GUGGGGAAUAUUGGACAAUGGGGGCAACCCUGAUCCAGCCAUGCCGCGUGAAUGAUGAAGGCCUUCGGGUUGUAAAGUUCUUUUGGAGGGGACGAUGAUGACGGUACCCUCAGAAUAAGCUCCGGCUAACUUCGUGCCAGCAGCCGCGGUAAUACGAAGGGAGCUAGCGUUGUUCGGAAUUACUGGGCGUAAAGGGCGCGUAGGCGGUUUGGUUAGUCAGAUGUGAAAGCACAGGGCUUAACCCUGGAACUGCGUUUGAUACUGCCAAGCUUGAAUUCGGGAGAGGUGAGUGGAAUUCCCAGUGUAGAGGUGAAAUUCGUAGAUAUUGGGAAGAACACCGGUGGCGAAGGCGGCUCACUGGACCGACAUUGACGCUGAGGCGCGAAAGCGUGGGGAGCAAACAGGAUUAGAAACCCUAGUAGUCC
rnacentral:rRNA from 1 species